ACCUGCAGCCAUAUCACCCUGUAGCCCAAGACUGGUUGCCCACUGAAGCUAAGCAGGGCUGAGCCUGGUCAGUACCUGGAUGGGAGACCUCCUGGGAAAACUAGAUUGCUGUUGGAA
rnacentral:rRNA from 1 species